UUGUAGCUAAGUUCCAGCAAACAUGUCCUUCCAUAGACACCCCCCUCCACCACCACCCCCACAUCUACACGGUCCUCCACCACCACGACCUCCACCAGGUCCUGACUUUUAUCCUCCACCUCCACCACUUCACCACCAUCACCAUCACCACCACAACACAUAUAUGGCUCCUGUAAUUUCGCCUGCACCUGCCACUCAGAAAGGUUCCCCUGCACCCUUUGAACAUUUGCCUGGCCCACCGAAAAAUCCACCUGCUCCUCAGAAUAGUAAAGCAAAGCCUCCUGAUUGCCAACUUGGGCGUAAUAGGAGGUUUCCAGGGAAUGGCAGAAAGCGAUCUUACAUAACCCCUAUGGUUUCACCAAAUAUUGCUCCUCACUUUCCUUCUCCCUCGCCAGAACCUCACAUCAAUCACCCUGCAGUGUCACCAACACCUGCGCCAAUCUCCCAAACAGUUCCUGCAUCUAGUCCUUUGCCAAAUGUUGUUUUUGCCCAUGUCCAGCCUCCAUCAAAGCCAAAAUCAGGAGAAGCACAUUCGGAUGCACUGCCACCAGUUUCACUGUUACCAUCACAAUCACCAUCUUAUUGUAAGUACAUUUAAUGAUCUUAUUAAGGUGCAUCCAUUCAAAGUUGAUAUUUUGAGUAAAGAUUUAACACUUACAUUUAUCUUUUUUUCCCUCCCCCAAUUCCUUCUAAAUCUGUUUGCUGUUCUAGGAUUAUUCAUGCUCGAUAAUUCAUUCCGUUCAUAUGAUCUGUUCCAUCAUCAUCAUCUUGUCAGCCAAUUUGUUCAUUACUUUAUUGUUAAUAUUCAUUUCAUGCUUAUACCAUAAUGUGGAUUAGCAUGUGUAGAUAAUGCACCAAUUUUAGAACCAGAGUGGUUUUAUUUGAGUGGAAGUCAGGUAUUAACUGUAGUACUCAAAUAUCCUACUUUUGCAGCAUCUACAGGUUUUGCUGCUGUUCGAUGGGCAAUUUCACUAUCCCUAGCUGUUGUACUACUACAUUUAUAACAAAGAAAAAGAAGAAACAAUCUAUUUUCUAGUUAAAGUACUUCUCUGGAUCGCAACUGUAUCAUUCAAUUCAACUGAAACAGACAUACUGGAGGAGUUUUUGUAACUGAGAGCAACGCAGAAGGCGUGCCUCACAUCUGAGU
rnacentral:misc_RNA from 1 species